rnacentral:rRNA from 1 species
GACGAACGCUGGCGGCGUGCUUAACACAUGCAAGUCGAACGGAAAGGCCCUGCUUUUGUGGGGUGCUCGAGUGGCGAACGGGUGAGUAACACGUGAGUAACCUGCCCUUGACUUUGGGAUAACUUCAGGAAACUGGGGCUAAUACCGGAUAGGAGCUCCUGCUGCAUGGUGGGGGUUGGAAAGUUUCGGCGGUUGGGGAUGGACUCGCGGCUUAUCAGCUUGUUGGUGGGGUAGUGGCUUACCAAGGCUUUGACGGGUAGCCGGCCUGAGAGGGUGACCGGCCACAUUGGGACUGAGAUACGGCCCAGACUCCUACGGGAGGCAGCAGUGGGGAAUAGUGCACAAUGGGCGGAAGCCUGAUGCAGCAACGCAGCGUGCGGGAUGACGGCCUUCGGGUUGUAAACCGCUUUCGCCUGUGACGAAGCGUGAGUGACGGUAAUGGGUAAAGAAGCACCGGCUAACUACGUG